GUAUAGUAGCGCGCUCAAGACCCGAAGCGGAGUGAUCUAGCCAUGGGCAGGUUGAAGCGGAGGUAAGACUUCGUGGAGGACCGAACCCACCAGGGUUGAAAACCUGGGGGAUGACCUGUGGUUAGGGGUGAAAGGCCAAUCAAACUCCGUGAUAGCUGGUUCUCCCCGAAAUGCAUUUAGGUGCAGCGUCGUGUGUUUCUUGCCGGAGGUAGAGCACUGGAUAGGCGAUGGGCCCUACCGGGUUACUGACCUUAGCCAAACUCCGAAUGCCGGUAAGUGAGAGCGCGGCAGUGAGACUGUGGGGGAUAAGCUCCAUGGUCGAGAGGGAAACAGCCCAGAGCAUCGACUAAGGCCCCUAAGCGUACGCUAAGUGGGAAAGGAUGUGGAGUCGCAGAGACAACCAGGAGGUUGGCUUAGAAGCAGCCACCCUUGAAAGAGUGCGUAAUAGCUCACUGGUCUAGUGAUUCCGCGCCGACAAUGUAGCGGGGCUCAAGCGUACCGCCGAAGUCGUGUCAUUCCAGAAUAUAGGGCCAACGCCUUCUGGGAUGGGUAGGGGAGCGUCGUGUGCCGGGUGAAGCCGCGCCGGAAGGCAGUGGUGGACGGUUCACGAGUGAGAAUGCAGGCAUGAGUAGCGAUUCACACGUGAGAAACGUGUGCGCCGAUUGACUAAGGGUUCCUGGGUCAAGCUGAUCUGCCCAGGGUAAGUCGGGACCUAAGGCGAGGCCGACAGGCGUAGUCGAUGGAUAACCGGUUGAUAUUCCGGUACCCGCUGUGAAGCGUCAAACAUCGAACCCAUUAAUGCUAAGGCCGUGAAGCCGCCCUGGAGCCUUCGGGCAAAGGGGAGUGGUGGAGCCGCCGAACCAAGGUGGUAGUAGGUGAGUGAUGGGGUGACGCAGGAAGGUAGUCCAUCCCGGGCGGUGGUUGUCCCGGGGUAAGGGUGUAGGACGUCAGGUAGGCAAAUCCGCCUGACAUGUGUCUGAGACCUGAUGCCGAGCCGAUUGUGGUGAAGUGGAUGAUCCUAUGCUGUCGAGAAAAGCCUCUAGCGAGUUUCAUGGCGGCCCGUACCCUAAACCGACUCAGGUGGUCAGGUAGAGAAUACCGAGGCGUUCGGGUGAACUAUGGUUAAGGAACUCGGCAAAAUGCCCCCGUAACUUCGGGAGAAGGGGGGCCAUCACUGGUGAUCCGUUUUACACGGUGAGCUGGGGGUGGCCGCAGAGACCAGCGAGAAGCGACUGUUUACUAAAAACACAGGUCCGUGCGAAGCCGUAAGGCGAUGUAUACGGACUGACGCCUGCCCGGUGCUGGAACGUUAAGGGGACCGGUUAGCUCCAUUUCGGUGGGGCGAAGCUGAGAACUUAAGCGCCAGUAAACGGCGGUGGUAACUAUAACCAUCCUAAGGUAGCGAAAUUCCUUGUCGGGUAAGUUCCGACCUGCACGAAUGGCGUAACGACUUCUCGACUGUCUCAACCAUAGGCCCGGUGAAAUUGCACUACGAGUAAAGAUGCUCGUUUCGCGCAGCAGGACGGAAAGACCCCGGGACCUUUACUACAGUUUGAUAUUGGUGUUCGGUUCGGCUUGUGUAGGAUAGCUGGGAGACUGUGAACUCUGGACGCCAGUUCAGGGGGAGUCGUCGUUGAAAUACCAGUCUGGUCGUGCUGGAUGUCUAACCUGGGUCCGUGAUCCGGAUCAGGGACAGUGUCUGAUGGGUAGUUUAACUGGGGCGGUUGCCUCCUAAAGAGUAACGGAGGCGCCCAAAGGUUCCCUCAGCCUGGUUGGCAAUCAGGUGUUGAGUGUAAGUGCACAAGGGAGCUUGACUGUGAGACCGACGGGUCGAGCAGGGACGAAAGUCGGGACUAGUGAUCCGGCGGUGGCUUGUGGAAGCGCCGUCGCUCAACGGAUAAAAGGUACCCCGGGGAUAACAGGCUGAUCUUCCCCAAGAGUCCAUAUCGACGGGAUGGUUUGGCACCUCGAUGUCGGCUCGUCGCAUCCUGGGGCUGGAGUCGGUCCCAAGGGUUGGGCUGUUCGCCCAUUAAAGCGGUACGCGAGCUGGGUUUAGAACGUCGUGAGACAGUUCGGUCCCUAUCCGCUGCGCGCGCAGGAAUAUUGAGAAGGGCUGUCCCUAGUACGAGAGGACCGGGACGGACGAACCUCUGGUGUGCCAGUUGUUCUGCCAAGGGCAUGGCUGGUUGGCUACGUUCGGGAGGGAUAACCGCUGAAAGCAUCUAAGCGGGAAGCCUGCUUCGAGAUGAGUAUUCCCACCCACUUGAUGGGGUAAGGCUCCCAGUAGACGACUGGGUUGAUAGGCCGGAUCUGGAAGCACGGUAACGUGUGGAGGUGACCGGUACUAAUAGGCCGAGGGCUUGUCCUCAGUUG
rnacentral:rRNA from 1 species